rnacentral:rRNA from 1 species
AUGGCUCAGAUUGAACGCUGGCGGCAGGCCUAACACAUGCAAGUCGAGCGGUAACAUUUCAAAAACUUGCUUUUGAAGAUGACGAGCGGCGGACGGGUGAGUAAUGGCUGGGAACCUGCCCUGAUGUGGGGGAUAACAGUUGGAAACGACUGCUAAUACCGCAUGAUGUCUACGGACCAAAGAGGAGGACCUUCGGGCUUCUCGCGUCAGGAUGGGCCCAGUUGGGAUUAGCUAGUUGGUGAGGUAAUGGCUCACCAAGGCGACGAUCCCUAGCUGGUUUGAGAGGAUGAUCAGCCACACUGGAACUGAGACACGGUCCAGACUCCUACGGGAGGCAGCAGUGGGGAAUAUUGCACAAUGGGCGCAAGCCUGAUGCAGCCAUGCCGCGUGUGUGAAGAAGGCCUUCGGGUUGUAAAGCACUUUCAGCAGUGAGGAAGGUUACGUAGUUAAUACCUGCGUGAUUUGACGUUAGCUGCAGAAGAAGGACCGGCUAACUCCGUGCCAGCAGCCGCGGUAAUACGGAGGGUCCGAGCGUUAAUCGGAAUUACUGGGCGUAAAGCGCAUGCAGGCGGUUUGUUAAGCAAGAU